rnacentral:rRNA from 1 species
GACGAACGCUGGCGGCGUGCUUAACACAUGCAAGUCGAACGGAAAGGCCCUGCUUUUGUGGGUUUCUCGAGUGGCGAGCGGGUGAGUGACACGUGAGUAACCUCCCCUUGACUUUGGGAUAUCUUCAGGAAACUCCGGCUCAUACCGGGUAUAAUCUCCUGCUGCAUGUUGUUCGUUGGUAAAAUUCGGCGGUUGGGGCUGGAUUCGCGGCUUAUGAGCUUGUUUGGGGGGUAGUUGCUGACCAAGGCUUUGACGGGUAGCCGGCCUGGGAGGGGGACCGGCCACAUUGGGACUGAGGUAGGGCCCAGACGCCUACGGGAGGCAGCAGGCGGGAGUAUUGCACAAUGGGCGGAAGCCUGAUGCAGAAGCGCCGCGUGCGGGAUGACGGGUUUCGGGUUGUAAACAACUGUCGCAUGUGACGAAGCGUGAGUGACGGUAAUGGGUAAAAAAGCAACGGCUAACUACGUG